rnacentral:lncRNA from 1 species
GACGCAUCACCACCACAAUGACACGAAUACAGUCACAUGAUCAUAGAAACACUGCCACAAGUGGGAAAGUAAGGGAGGAGAAAGGGAGGCACGAGGGGGAACAAAUGUGGGGUUUAGGGUUUCAAAAUUUUAAAUUGGGCAGAGUUAUCGUCACGGUGCAGAAGGCUUCUCAAGGCGGAUUUGUGGUGGUUCAACGAGUUAUCGUCACGGCGACGCUACGCCACGAUGGUCCUUGUUCUCGCGACGUUAGAGGCACGAUCUAUGGGGUUUCUUUGGUGGUUCGCGAUGGCGAUAUGCAUCUGGUCUCGUCUCGCACUUUUCGUCUAUAGUGGUGGCAUCACCGUAGUGCGGCAGAGUGUUCUUUAUACGGGUAGUUCAUAUAGAAAUUAUGAAUGUUCAUAUUUAUGCAUAUCCAUGCAAGUAUUGGUCUAUCUAAAGGAACAUUAAUAUUUUGUUCAAUUGUAUACGCACUUGUGAUUAUAACAUGUGAUAAUUAUAAGGUUUUAUGUGUUAAUGAUAAAAUUAAUCCAAAAAUAGGUUUUUAUUGGACAUGUUUU